rnacentral:rRNA from 1 species
UACGUAGGGCGCAAGCGUUAUCCGGAAUUAUUGGGCGUAAAGAGCUCGUAGGCGGUUUGUCGCGUCUGCCGUGAAAGUCCGGAGCUCAACUCCGGAUCUGCGGUGGGUACGGGCAGACUAGAGUGCAGUAGGGGAGACUGGAAUUCCUGGUGUAGCGGUGAAAUGCGCAGAUAUCAGGAGGAACACCGAUGGCGAAGGCAGGUCUCUGGGCUGUAACUGACGCUGAGGAGCGAAAGCAUGGGGAGCGAACAGG